rnacentral:rRNA from 1 species
AUAUUGGUCAAUGGAGGGAACUCUGAACCAGCCAUGCCGCGUGCAGGAUGACUGCCCUAUGGGUUGUAAACUGCUUUUGUCAGGGAAUAAACCUUUCCACGUGUGGGAAGCUGAAUGUACCUGAAGAAUAAGGAUCGGCUAACUCCGUGCCAGCAGCCGCGGUAAUACGGAGGAUCCAGGCGUUAUCCGGAUUUAUUGGGUUUAAAGGGUGCGUAGGCGGUCCUAUAAGUCAGUGGUGAAAGACGGCAGCUUAACUGUCGCAGUGCCUUUGAUACUGUAGGACUUGAAUCUAUUUGAAGUGGGCGGAAUAAGACAAGUAGCGGUGAAAUGCAUAGAUAUGUCUUAGAACUCCGAUUGCGAAGGCAGCUCACUAAGUUAGUAUUGACGCUGAUGCACGAAAGCGUGGGGAUCAAACAGG